GACCGUGCCGACGGACGGACCCGUCUCUCUAUCGCCGGGCUUAUAACAACAGGUGCAUGGACCCGUGCGGCCCGACGAGUCGCUGGCUGCUGCUGCCUGCUGCGCAGACCGAGGACGAGGGGCUGCACUAAGACACACGCACCCGAAAGGCGCCUUCAUCCGCUCUUAUAACGCUCCAGCCAAGUGGAAGAUCUUCAUUUGAACUGUCACCCUCCAUCUUCUUCGCGUGCAGGUCUUUCCGACUAAACUGGAGGAAGAAGAAGAAGGAGGAAAAAAAAAAGGAAAAAAAAACCGCGAAUGUUUGCAGGAGUUUGGUGAAAUCCGAAAGCAAAGCAUGACGGGGGAGGAAAGCUGAGCAUGCAGCUGGGAAUCGCUCUGUGCCGUGUCUGCGGUCCGCCUGCCAACACCUUACCUGUCCGCACUUAACGCGAAGGAAAACAAAGAAGAAGAAGAAGAACAAGAGCAAGAACAAGAAGAAGAAGUACCAUUCAAAGCUUGAACGCAGCUGGACCAGGACUACGCGAGAGAACAUCUGAAGGAAACGGACUUGCUCGCCAGAAGGUCUUGCUGUAGGACGAGACAAAUGUGUGUGACAGCGCCUGUGCUCCGCAGCCUCCUGGUGGUUCUCCUGCUGGCCUUCUCCUCCUGCGAACUUGACUGACUCAUUUAAUAACCCCAAAGACAGGGACUAUUGCCCCUCUGCAAAGGGGAAGACGCCUCCUUGCCGAGCUAGCCAGAGAACCCAAGGGAAGAAGAAAGGGAAGAUUAAAAUCAUCAGGGCACUCACUCUGUGUUGGCAGAAACUUCAGACCAUCUAUGCAGUCACAAAUUAA